AUGGGUACAAUUUUAACCCNUUUAACGAGUAUNUAUGAGAGGGCAAGUCUGGUGCCAANCANCCGCGGUAAUUCCAGCUCUCAAAGUGCAUAGAAUUAUUGCUGCGGUUAAAAAGCUCGUAGUUGGAUCUGUGCCAUAGGACGUGGUCCACCUUCGGGUGCGUACUACGCUCCUAGGCUUUUUGCUGGUUUUCCCGUCGUAGCCUUCACUGGUUGCGGCGGGUGGCUGGCGAGUUUACUUUGAGAAAAUCAGAGUGCUCAAUACAGGCGUAUCGCUUGAAUGAUUGUGCAUGGAAUAAUAGAAAAGGAUUUCGGUCCUCUUUUAUUGGUUUUGUGGACUGAGAUAAUGGUUAACAGGGACAAACGGGGGCAUUCGUAUCUCUGCGUGAGAGGUGAAAUUCUUGGACCGUAGAGAGACGCCCUACUGCGAAAGCAUUUGCCAAGAAUGUCUUCAUUAAUCAAGAACGAAAGUCAGAGGUUCGAAGGCGAUCAGAUACCGCCCUAGUUCUGACCGUAAACGAUGCCAACUAGCGAUCCGCCGGUGGAUUUUUAGCCCUGGUGGGUAGCUUCCCGGAAACGAAAGUCUUCCGGUUCCGGGGGAAGUAUGGUUGCAAAGCUGAAACUUAAAGGAAUUGACGGAAGGGCACCACCAGGAGUGGAGCCUGCGGCUUAAUUUGACUAAGGGC
rnacentral:rRNA from 1 species